rnacentral:rRNA from 1 species
UACGGAGGGAGCUAGCGUUGUUCGGAAUUACUGGGCGUAAAGCGCACGUAGGCGGCUUUGUAAGUUAGAGGUGAAAGCCCGGGGCUCAACCCCGGAAUUGCCUUUAAGACUGCAUCGCUUGAAUCCGGGAGAGGUGAGUGGAAUUCCGAGUGUAGAGGUGAAAUGCGUAGAUAUCCGGAGGAACACCGGUGGCGAAGGCGGCUUCCUGGACCGACACUGACGCUGAGGCGCGAAAGCUAGGGGAGCAAACGGG